rnacentral:snRNA from 1 species
UGAUGUGAGGGAGACCUGGCUACCUUUGUUACCCACUGACCACCACAGUUGACUACUCAGCUGGUCUGGCUGGCUGCAAGGUGUCUGCUUCCUCCAUUAGCACUCCUCAGGAGUCAUUCCUGAAGUUUUGCAUUUCGAGGAUGACCUUCUCCAAACAGAGGAAACAGUCUCCAGUCCAGCAGAUCUGAGUAGCUUCCCUCCCCAGCUAGAACCUCCAAAUAAACUCUCAAAAUCCAAAAAGCCAUGAAAUCUGAAACACUGGUUCAAACCAUUCAGGUAAGAGAUGCUCAGCCUGUGUUU